GAUCUCCACAUGGCCGUGCUCACAAGCACACAUCAGUGCUGUGGACCCAUCGUCAUCCUGCAGGUUGACAUCGGCGGCACAAUCCAGCAGAGCCUUGACCAUGUCAAUUCGCCCGUGGCUGACUGCUAGCAUCAGUGCCGUCUGCCCUGCCUGCAGGAGGACAAGGAGGACGGAAGAGGGAGGGUCUGUGCUGUCAUCUUUUCUCUUCAUGAUGGACUUUAUCCCAGCUGGCAAUGAGGCUAGGAGGCAGAAAAAGGGACCACAGACAAGACUACCACCAGGGGCAAGACUAACCUUGCACCUGGAGCAAGUUCCAUCAACCAAGAACGAGGAAGACAGAGAAGCCCUGAGUGGGUCUGGAAACACUAGAAGAGGAAAUCAGGAAUCGUAACUCAAAGGAUGAAAGGGUUGGAAAGCUAGGACCUAUGAAGAGAGGCAAUCUAAAGAAAUUGGGAUUACUCAGGGUAAGGAAUAGCAUUUGUGACUGACUCAGACCUUAAGAAGGGCCAUUACCAGCUGGUCAUCAUCGCCGAGGACAAAACCAAAGGAAAUGGGCUGAAAUUUGUAGCAGGAGGGAUUAAGUUUGGAUAAAGAAUGAACCUCUUCCCAAUGGCAAGGGGCAGGGGGGAUUGUUAAACCACGGAAGACAUCCCUACUCCUCCCUAGCCCACCAUCGGUCCUGCGAGAGGCGAGGGAAGGAUGACAUGCCCUCCAGAGAGCCCUUCCACCAUGCGGAUUCUGUAAUUCUGAGUCCCUUCUUUCCUCUCCUGUCGAGCCAUGUCGUCUCUUGCUUGCAGAGCUGAAUAAACUCACUGUGCAGUG